rnacentral:rRNA from 1 species
AUGUGGAGCCGUAGCGAAAGCGAGUCUGAAUAGGGCGUUGAGUAUUUGGUCGUAGACCCGAAACCAGGUGAUCUACCCAUGGUCAGGUUGAAGUUCAGGUAACACUGAAUGGAGGACCGAACCGACUUACGUUGAAAAGUGAGCGGAUGAACUGUGGGUAGCGGAGAAAUUCCAAUCGAACUUGGAGAUAGCUGGUUCUCUCCGAAAUAGCUUUAGGGCUAGCCUCAAGUGAUGAUUAUUGGAGGUAGAGCACUGUUUGGACGAGGGGCCCCUCUCGGGUUACCGAAUUCAGACAAACUCCGAAUGCCAAUUAAUUUAACUUGGGAGUCAGAACAUGGGUGAUAAGGUCCGUGUUCGAAAGGGAAACAGCCCAGACCACCAGCUAAGGUCCCAAAAUAUAUGUUAAGUGGAAAAGGAUGUGGCGUUGCCCAGACAACUAGGAUGUUGGCUUAGAAGCAGCCAUCAUUUAAAGAGUGCGUAAUAGCUCACUAGUCGAGUGACACUGCGCCGAAAAUGUACCGGGGCUAAACAUAUUACCGAAGCUGUGGAUUGUCCGUAGGACAAUGGUAGGAGAGCGUUCUAAGGGCGUUGAAGCAUGAUCGCAAGGACAUGUGGAGCGCUUAGAAGUGAGAAUGCCGGUGUGAGUAGCGAAAGACGGGUGAGAAUCCCGUCCACCGAUUGACUAAGGUUUCCAGAGGAAGGCUCGUCCGCUCUGGGUUAGUCGGGUCCUAAGCUGAGGCCGACAGGCGUAGGCGAUGGAUAACAGGUUGAUAUUCCUGUACCACCUAGCAUCGUUUUAAUCGAUGGGGGGACGCAGUAGGAUAGGCGAAGCGUACGAUUGGAUUGUACGUCUAAGCAGUGAGAUUGAGUGUUAGGCAAAUCCGGCACUCUUAAGAUUGAGCUGUGAUGGGGAGAGGAAAUUGUUUCCUCGAGUCGUUGAUUUCACACUGCCGAGAAAAGCCUCUAGAUAGAUAAUAGGUGCCCGUACCGCAAACCGACACAGGUAGUCAAGAUGAGAAUUCUAAGGUGAGCGAGCGAACUCUCGUUAAGGAACUCGGCAAAAUGACCCCGUAACUUCGGGAGAAGGGGUGCUCUUUAGGGUGCAAGCCCAGAAGAGCCGCAGUGAAUAGGCCCAAGCGACUGUUUAUCAAAAACACAGGUCUCUGCUAAACCGUAAGGUGAUGUAUAGGGGCUGACGCCUGCCCGGUGCUGGAAGGUUAAGAGGAGU